ensembl:miRNA eca-mir-9123 eca-mir-9123
UAAGCAGGUCCCCGUGUGGGACCAGCGUGCGUCUUCCGUCGCUGUUCCUCUGCUCAAGAAGCGCGCGCGCGCGCGCGCGCCUUCUCAGAGGUACAGGAUCUUGUGAGCUUCCUCAGGGAGGACUCUGCUUCCCGA